rnacentral:rRNA from 1 species
UACGGGGGGAGCAAGCGUUGUUCGGAUUUACUGGGCGUAAAGGGCGCGUAGGCGGCCAGCACAAGUCAGUUGUGAAAUCUCCGAGCUUAACUCGGAAAGGUCAACUGAUACUGUGCGGCUAGAGUGCGGAAGGGGCAACUGGAAUUCUUGGUGUAGCGGUGAAAUGCGUAGAUAUCAAGAGGAACACCUGCGGCGAAGGCGGGUUGCUGGGCCGACACUGACGCUGAUGCGCGAAAGCUAGGGGAGCGAACGGG